rnacentral:sRNA from 1 species
GUUGGAGGUUGCUGUGAGCGUGAUGCCAUGGCACUCUACCCAGGGGGAUAGCUUGAGGCUCCGUCUCAAAAAAAAAAAAAAAGAAAUUUCCAUUCUCUGGUGAAGUUCUCCAUCUUUAUGUCCAUGUUGCCCAUGCUCCCCUACCUUUUUUUUUUUUUGAGACAGAGCCUCAAGCUGUCCCCCUGGGCUGAGUGCCGUGGCAUUACAGCUCACAGCAACCUCCAACUCCUGGGCUCAAGCGAGUCUCCUGCCUCCGCCUCCCAAGUAGCUGGGACCACAGGCGCCCGCUACAACGCCCGGC